rnacentral:rRNA from 1 species
UGGCGGCAGCUACCAUGCAGUCGAGCGGAUGACGGGAGCUUGCUCCUUGAUUCAGCGGCGGACGGGUGAGUAAUGCCUAGGAAUCUGCCUGGUAGUGGGGGACAACGUUUCGAAAGGAACGCUAAUACCGCAUACGUCCUACGGGAGAAAGCAGGGGACCUUCGGGCCUUGCGCUAUCAGAUGAGCCUAGGUCGGAUUAGCUAGUUGGUGGGGUAAUGGCUCACCAAGGCGACGAUCCGUAACUGGUCUGAGAGGAUGAUCAGUCACACUGGAACUGAGACACGGUCCAGACUCCUACGGGAGGCAGCAGUGGGGAAUAUUGGACAAUGGGCGAAAGCCUGAUCCAGCCAUGCCGCGUGUGUGAAGAAGGUCUUCGGAUUGUAAAGCACUUUAAGUUGGGAGGAAGGGCAGUAAGCUAAUACCUUGCUGUUUUGACGUUACCGACAGAAUAAGCACCGGCUAACUCUGUGCCAGCAGCCGCGGUAAUACAGAGGGUGCAAGCGUUAAUCGGAAUUACUGGGCGUAAAGCGCGCGUAGGUGGUUUGUUAAGUUGGAUGUGAAAGCCCCGGGCUCAACCUGGGAACUGCAU